UACGAGUGGUGCAAGCGUUGUUCGGAAUCACUGGGCAUAAAGAGCACGUAGGUGGCGGCGUAAGUCAUGGGUGAAAUCCCCCGGCUCAACCGGGGAACCGCCUGUGAGACUGCGUUGCUAGAGGGUGGCAGGGGGAGACGGAAUUCCAGGUGGAGCGGUGAAAUGCGUAGAUAUCUGGAGGAACGCCGGAGGCGAAAGCGGUCUCCUGGGCCACAACUGACGCUGAGGUGCGAAAGCGUGGGGAGCGAACAGG
rnacentral:rRNA from 1 species